rnacentral:rRNA from 1 species
AGAGUUUGAUCCUGGCUCAGGACGAACGCUGGCGGCGUGCUUUAUACAUGCAAGUCGAACGAUGAAGUUCCUUCGGGAAUGGAUUAGUGGCGAACGGGUGAGGAACACGUGAGAAACCUGCCUUUCAUUCUGGGAUAACACCGGGAAACCGGUGCUAAUACCGGAUACUCCAUCUUGGCGGCAUCGCCGAGCUGGGAAAAAAUUUUGAUGAAAGAUGGUCUCGCGGCCUAUCAGCUAGUUGGUGAGGUAAAGGCUCACCAAGGCGACGACGGGUAGCCGGCCUGAGAGGGCGACCGGCCACACUGGGACUGAGACACGGCCCAGACUCCUACGGGAGGCAGCAGUAGGGAAUAUUGGGCAAUGGGCGAAAGCCUGACCCAGCGACGCCGCGUGAGGGAUGAAGGUCUUCGGAUUGUAAACCUCUUUCAGUAGGGAAGAAGCGAAAGUGACGGUACCUAAAGAAGAAGCACCGGCUAACUAUGUGCCAGCAGCCGCGGUAAUACAUAGGGUGCAAGCGUUGUCCGGAAUUAUUGGGCGUAAAGAGCUCGUAGGUCGUUUGUCGCGUCGAUUGUGAAAAUCUGAGGCUCAACCUCAGACCUGCAGUCGAUACGGGCAAACUAGAGUGUGGUAGGGGAGACUGGAAUUCCUGGUGUAGCGGUGGAAUGCGCAGAUAUCAGGAGGAACACCAAUGGCGANNNCAGGUCUCUGGGCCAUAACUGACACUGNNNAGCGAAAGUGCGGGGAGCGAACAGGAUUAGAUACCCUGGUAGUCCGCACCGUAAACGGUGGGCACUA